CAGCAGCCACGGUAAUACGGAGGGAGCUAGCGUUGUUCGGAAUUACUGGGCGUAAAGCGCGCGUAGGCGGUUACUCAAGUCAGAGGUGAAAGCCCGGGGCUCAACCCCGGAACUGCCUUUGAAACUAGGUGACUAGAAUCUUGGAGAGGUCAGUGGAAUUCCGAGUAUAGAGGUGAAAUUCGUAGAUAUUCGGAAGAACACCAGUGGCGAAGGCGACUGACUGGACAAGUAUUGACGCUGAGGUGCGAAAGCGUGGGGAGCAAACAGGAUUAGAUACCCGCGUAGUCCCUGUCUCUUAUAC
rnacentral:rRNA from 1 species